UAACUGUCGGGUAUGAGUCAGGGCACUCCCAGGGCUGGGAGUGCAGGACAAGACACAUUCACAGGCUUGGACUCAACUGGAGCAUUCGGUGGACUAGAACAUGCCACAGGGCCACAGGACACCAGACCAAAGGAGGAAUGGCAGAAGCCCUACAGCCAGUUGCCAGGCAGGAGGAGGGUAUUGCUCUCAUAUCGCAGCAGCCACGGCCAUUCCCCAGCACACGAAGCACACUCAAACAGGCAAUAUAAUGUAUCCCAGAUGAACAUUCCAGAAACUAAAAGUCCUCUUUAAGAAGAACUCCAGGCUUCUCAUCAUGCUAAGGAUCACAAACAGAAAACCUCAGCUUGAGAAAACAGACUUCCUACUGGAGGGUGCAGGAUUGGAGCAGAAAAAUCCUGAAAGGAGGUCUCAAGAAAAGAAAUACAUGGUAGACUUUGAUGGAAGAACCUGGAACUGAUCAGGGGACCAGGAUGUUGCUGCUCUACUGCCAGGAAGUGUGGAUGACAGAGUGGAGCCACAAAACUGGUGACCAUAAAUAUUAAAAAACAAAUCAAAACACCCCCCAAACAACACCAGGAGUCUCCUCCACCCUGGAUGUGAAGCGUGGAGAGAAGAAAUUCAACAGGAAGGAACUUCUUUGCCUCGACCCAAAUGCUAGAAGGUGGCAAUUAUAGUCAUGCUCGCCCAUCACGCACCAUGGCACAUGGGAAGCAACAGAGGCAGAUCACCAAGCGGCAUCGGACAACUGCAUUCCAAGAUCCCGCUGCCAGACGGAGUCCUGGCUCCUCUU
rnacentral:lncRNA from 1 species